CAGCAGCCGCGGGAAUACGAAGGGUGCAAGCGUUACUCGGAAUUACUGGGCGUAAAGCGUGCGUAGGUGGUGGUUUAAGUCCGUUGUGAAAGCCCUGGGCUCAACCUGGGAAUUGCAGUGGAUACUGGAUCACUAGAGUGUGGUAGAGGAUAGUGGAAUUUCCGGUGUAGCAGUGAAAUGCGUAGAGAUCGGAAGGAACAUCUGUGGCGAAGGCGACUAUCUGGGCCAACACUGACACUGAGGCACGAAAGCGUGGGGAGCAAACAGGAUUAGAUACCCCGGUAGUCCCUGUCUCUUAUAC
rnacentral:rRNA from 1 species